rnacentral:rRNA from 1 species
GAUGAACGCUGGCGGCGUGCCUAAUACAUGCAAGUCGAGCGAAGGGACGAGAAGCUUGCUUCUCUGAUGUUAGCGGCGGACGGGUGAGUAACACGUGGAUAACCUACCUAUAAGACUGGGAUAACUUCGGGAAACCGUAGCUAAUACCGGAUAAUAUUUUGCACCGCAUGGUUCAAAAGUGAAAGACGGUCUUGCUGUCACUUAUAGAUGGAUCCGCGCUUCAUUAGCUAGUUGGUAAGGUAACGGCUUACCAAGGCAACGAUGCAUAGCCGACCUGAGAGGGUGAUCGGCCACACUGGAACUGAGACACGGUCCAGACUCCUACGGGAGGCAGCAGUAGGGAAUCUUCCGCAAUGGGCGAAAGCCUGACGGAGCAACGCCGCAUGAGUGAUGAAGGUCUUCGGAUCGUAAUACUCUGUUAUUAGGGAAGAACAUAUGUGUAAGUAACUGUGCACAUCUUGACGGUACCUAAUCAGAAAGCCACGGCUAACUACGUG